CUGGUCCUGGGGCUUCCAUCCACCCGGGUUUGCCCGUCACGGACGUGAGGCUUCUGCAGAGGCCUCUUCCGGGACACUCAGCCCCGGGACGCCAUCCAAGUCGGCGGCUCCGCUGCAGAGCUGCUGGGACGGGAGGCAGCAGCCCAGGCGGGCCUGCGGAGACAAGAUAAAGCUGCGACACAUGCCAUCCUGCCAGAGGGAGGGUGGCCGGGCUCCCACAGGACCCUGGACGGAUGAGAGGGUGCGCCCAACGCCUCAAAGCCGGCCGGGCAUGGGGCUGCCCCAUGUCCAGUGCGAUUUCAGGGACCGAGUUUUACUUACCUGCUUCAGACUCUAACCAGGCCCCUCUGGCUGUCAGGAGAACCCCCAGGCCCUUCAGGGUCACGUCCCGGGACCUGACCAGCCUGCUUUGUCUCCUCCUGCCCUAAAGAAGCUCAUCUGAAUUUAUGUCCCAAACUGGGAUCCUCUGGGAGUGAACAGGACAGGCUGCCAUCAGCAGUGGCUCUGGAGCAGCAGACAGAAGGCAGGACCGUCCCUGGCAACCUCGCCGUGCACACCCGACACCGACACCCACACCCACGCUCGGCCCACGGACCCCAC